rfam:Gossypium raimondii Chr01_contig_605, whole genome shotgun sequence.
GCGUAUGUAGUCCAACUGUUGGGGUAAUUGCCUUCCAAUCUAUUCACCCGGGCUCGAUUCCCGGCAAACGCA